CCGGUGGGCGGGGGCAUACGCCUGGCACCGCCCCCUGCACCUAUCACGGCUUCUCGCGGGUCAGUCCCCACGCGCGUGGACUCAGCCCGCUCUGGUCGCUACAGGGCAGGCCCACAGGGUCCACCCUGACCAGUCAGCAGAGCCAAGAAGCCAUGUCGCUGGACCCCUUGGAGGGACAGGCCCCUCACGUGGCUCAGGAAGAGGUGCUACCCAGUCUCCCACAUGGACUGUCUGGCUGGCUGGGAUCCCAGAAGCUCAACUGGAGCCCAGGGCAGCCAGGACCAAUCCCAGGAGAGUGGACUCAGAGAUCCAGAUGCGAGAAAGACCAGAGGGAGACGCAGAAAGAACCGCGCAGGCCACAGAGAGGACGGAGGGAUGACAGAACUAGAGGGCGAGAUUGAGAGAGACGACAGAAAGAGGUGAGAGGUGAUGGAGACACAUGAGAGAGGGCGGCUGAUGGAGACAGGCGGUGGAGCCAAGGGGGCGACGGGCGGUGGGCAGAUGCCGGAGGGCUGCCUCCCCGCAGCCUGGCACCAGGGGCCCCUGCCAGUGGGGCAUCCCCGCAGCGAAGGCUCGGCCACCCACACCUGCAGCGGCGGCCAGGUGUGGUGGGCCAGCCCAUAGAGACGCUGCUCCAGCCCAAAGCCCGGCGUCCGGCAGCCAAGGGCUGGCUGUGGUCCCCACACCUCCCCUUCUCCAGGGAGCGCCGACUCAAACCCACUCCUCGCCCCUUCCUGCUCUCCCAGACGCCGC
rnacentral:lncRNA from 1 species